GUUACGAGAGGAGGAAAAAAGAACAAUGGUUUUACAGAAUUCGUGGAAAUUUUUCUUUAUUUUAUCGGUUUUUUCGCUUCUAUAUAUAACACACGAAUACCAAUGCCAACAAAUGCAAGCUUGUGGACGUCGUCUGUACAAUACGUUAUUUUAUGUCUGCGUGGGCCAAAUUAGUCGAUGGAGGCUUGAUCACGUUCGUCCGUACGAAAAAAGGAUUCUUCACUAGAGGAAGUGGAUACGAUUUAGUCUGUAUGUGCUGUUGGAAUGCGUGCAAUCACUCAGUAUUAAGUAACUAUGAAAAUUGCAAGCUUCUCAUACCUCUAUUUGCAAAAAACCAGGAAUAUUAAAAAAAGCCUAUAAAGUUACUUGAUUGUAAACAUAAAUUUUUAUUAAUGAUCUAUAAAAUUAAAUUGUUCAGUAAAAAUGAUAA